ensembl:lncRNA
GCAGAGAGAGCUGCUUUUUCAUGAAACGGGAGUAAAGUAGUGAACUUACAGGAACAUAUACCACUACAGACGUUGGGAUCGAUAUCUGCAUCGAUCCGCACAUAACUGUCUCGUGAAUCCUAGCUGAGAUCAGCGUGAACCACGUGGGUCUCUGCUCCCUGAUCUGUUUCUUAAGACGUCCAGCUUCAUCACGGAGUUUCUCUCGGUUUGUGGGCUCAUCUAAAGCUGAGUAACAGCAGAAGAGUCUGGUGGAGCAACAGAGGAACAAUUUCAGCCAUUUGGACUCAGCUCAGCCACUACAGAGGAAACAAUGACUUCAACACAAAAGGACCAACAUGGAGCAAGAAGUCAGCGCUCUCAGGAGGCCGACAAACCUCACAGAAGAAAG